CAGGGGAUAUUAUUAUUUUGUUAACUUCGGUGGUUAGUUUCGUUCAAUUCGCAUUUAUUCUCCUCUUUUUCAGUUUUUCAGGCAAUCUUUUCUUGUUAUCGGCAAAUUUAUUUUGCUUUUUCUCUUUCGUUCUUUAUCAAUUUCCACUGCUGCUUCCCGGCGUCAAACGAGAAUCCACCAAGAGUUUCUUCUGUCGGGUUUUGUUCUCGUCAAUUUGGAAUUAAUUCGCGGUUUCGAAAUUUAAAACGAUUCGACGCGCAGUAAAGUUCGUUAUGGUUUUCGUUCUCACAGAAUGAGAUAAAGUUCAUCAAGGGUGGACGGUUUGUCGCCAAGAAACGGUACGUGGAAGAGGAGUUUCGAAGAAGAAGGUCCAUUUCCAAGGAUAAAAUUAUAUUUACACGUGAAAACAGGCGUAAGAAUAGCAGAACUUGGAAGUUACAGAACCAAGUAGUUGAAAAAAAAGAAAAAAAAACCAUUUACAGCGUGUCAUCGUCACAGAAUGAUGAUAUUCGAUUAUUCGUUUUAGAAUCUAUAUCCGCUUUUCCUUUUUUUUAUUGCUUCCUCAACUUGCAAAAGCGAUCUUCAAAAGUCAAAAAACACAUGUUUCAACGAUAUCUUUUGUAUCGAGGGAUCCCCAAAUUUCUCGCCAUCUUCUCCAUUAAGAAUUGGAAAACGGUUUUUUCCAACGAAUCAAUCGUCAUUUUAUCGUACAAACGAUUCAUCGACGCAUCGAUGAUUCUCUUCGCGAACAAAGGCCAAAUUUAGGAACCGCUCUGAUCCAACGUUAUGAUCCAUUAACGCUUUACAGGUUAUACGAUGUUACAUCACUCGAAUCAAUAAUUAGAUAAGGCUAAUACCAAAUGUCCGCAUCAUGCCAAUUAGCUAUAAAAAAAAAAAGAAAAAAAAAAGAAAGGAAAAAUUAAAUAAGUACUUUCGUAAGCCAGCAACCGAUCGCGAAAUUUUACAUCCCAGGAGAACGAUCUCGCGAUGUAUAGAUGUAUUACACUGCGUAAAACACGCUGUACAUAAUCGUAAUUGGAGAGGGAGAAGUGGGGGGAAGAGAGAGAUAAAUAUAUUCCUCAACUUUUAUUCGUUCAUUAUGAUACUUUGUACGUAAGUGAAUAAGCGAGUAAGUAAAAAUUGUUCGAGUUGCAAUUGAUCCAUCUCUUUCGAAUUUAUGCUCGAACAAUUCUCGUUGGAUAUUGACGCUGCUAAAACUACGUUGAAAUACGCGCUGGAAUAUUUUUUCCGCUCCAGUUUAUCACGUCGAUGCAAAGUUUGAGUCGUUAACGAUCGAUGCCGCACUACUACUAAUUGGUUCGAUUGGUUAAAUCGACGAUUAACGAUUUAUCACCGAUUCAGGCCGAGCCGUUACUUUGUAUGGAAGAUUGGACGAGGAUCGAAAAGAAAGAAAGAAAGCCGGUUUCGUUGAAAAAUCGGAUAACAGGAAGUGACGGCGCGUCCUCUCGGCGAGGUCGCCGACCCUGGCGAGGAGGCAAUUCUAAAAUAGUGCACGACGGUUGUAGUAUCGGCCACGAAAAUUAACCACCUUCCCCUCACCCUCGUGAAACGUGAUAUCCGUUUUAGAAAGUUUUAAGAAUAAUACCGCUCUCGGUUAACGAUUUUCCUCGAGCUUUCUCUGUCCUUAUGCCUCCUCCUCGAGGGAACAACAUCGGUUUCUCAUUGGAACCGAGUAAAAGUGUUACGAUUCGGCGCGAAGAUAUGUAUAUUUUUUUCUCAUGCGAUGCUAUAGCGAUAAAAUAUAUGUGAUAAUUAUUUUCCAUCUAAACUUCGUUAAAACAGAUCGUUCGAUAAUUAGGGGAAAUAUUUUUCGAAUAUAAUUCGAAAUAUUAAAUAUAGAUUAUUUGUAGAAAUAACGGGCCACAUGAGAAAGAAUUGCCCUUAAUAAAAGGAAAAAAAAUUGGAGAAGAAAAUGUCAUGUAUCCUGUCACGCGACAUAACGUGCGUUUUAUUAUCUUCUGCAGCGAUAUUGGAACUUAAAGAAAUUAACCUACAACAACUUGUAUAAAUUUUUAUUAAAUAUAUAUAUAUAUAUAUAUAUUACAAAAAUUAAAUUGAACAUUCGAAUUUUUCCUAAAAAAAAAAGAAAAAAUUAAUUUUUCGGGGUCGAAGAAAAACAAGAUAUUUAUUCUCCAUAAUAUCUCUAUAAUACCUCGAGUCGAUCAAAAGCGUUCUUGAUUUUUGCCGUCUGAGAAAAAUCUAUCGAAAUAUUCUUCAAGAUAUCCAUUUACAAGCAAAACCAGCUUGAACUUUACCGCGGAAACAGCGUAUUGCUUGGCUCCUCUCGACAAAAAAAGAUGAAAGAAAUUUGAACAAACGUUCGUUUAAAGAGAAGGAGGAGACGUAGAAAGAAUACGAAAUGGGGUUUCUUUCCUCUUUCACACGGGAUGAAAGGCAGGCGUCCCUCUCCUCCUAUCAAGAAGAUCGCGACGUCAAAAUGUCUUUGAAACGAGUAAAGCGUGCAGUGAGGAGAAGAGCGUUGAUUGUGGGAGAGGAUAGGAAUAGAGAACGCGGUAGACAACAAUUAUCUCCUGGCAAAGAGAAAGGUUCUCGUGGCAAGUCACGAGAGAGGUCAACCGUGGCAACUCUCGAACACGGAAUCGUCGAGGUGAAAAAGAAAAAAGGCAAGACACGUCAUCUUCUUUUCCAAAUAUUCUUUUUCUUCUCGCCAACGAUUAAUACAAUAAAAAAGAAAGAGGAAAAUGGAUCAAUGGAUCGAAUUACGAUAUUGUCGAUCAUCAAGUAUCGAUCCUAAUUUCACGGUAUAAAGACAAUAUAAAGAUAGGACUGAGGGACGUCUAAUUUAUCCCUGGCAAGGAUUCAAUGAACGGCUUAUAAAUUUCGCGGUAUGGUAUGUAAAUGUAUUUGUACUUGGCCUAGAAAGGUGUUUGAAAAAAAAAUCGGUUCGACAUUGCCAAUAAAUCGAUCGAUCCCUCUUCUUGAAAUCGAGUGGAAUAUCAUCGAACUGUUCGUGUCUUUCUCAAUUCUUAAAGCAUCUCCUCCCAUUUGACGAAUUUUUAAUCGUUUGAUAAAGUGUAUUAUCCGUUUCGCUCGAUCGAAGCGAAAAAUUCCAAGCAGAAUUACGAAGAAGAUAUUACUUCAUGCCUAGAGUCACGAAACAACGUCCUCGUUCUCUUCUUCUUAACGAGCUGCACGUCACAAACAUAACUAUAAUUAAGAAUCGCGGCAGUCUCUCAAAAGAAACUCGUAUACGUGUGCAGUAUGUGUGUAUAUGCACGUGCUUCUUAGCAUAUGGACUGUGAAACAGUAGGCUAAUCGUUUGCAAGUUUGCAACUCACGAUCUUAAUUGUAAAUAAAUAUAUACAUAGUAGCUGUAAAAGCUUUUCACGUUAUUGCAAUUAAUCAGUAUUACGUGAUAUUUCAUACAUCGUUCGAUAAUACGAAAAUUUGAUUGAAGAAAAUACUGCGUAAAUACUUUUUGUACAGCCUGUACAUCAAAGUCGAAGAAGAUCGUCCACAAAGUUUCGAGCAUCGAUUCGCCGUAAGUACAACACAGGGAAUAACGUGUUACACGCAACUUAAACGGAAGAUUAAUUCUGUGCCGAUGCUUACACACGUGAAACGUCUUGCUAUCUAUUCGAUGGAUCGUAGAUUUCUGUGAAACGUUACGCUGAAUUAAUUUGAUUCAGGUAUCAUCGCUAUAAAUAACAGACCACUCGAAUUCGCCAGAGAUUCUAACAGUAAUUACCAUCAAAGAGGAUCUUUGAAGUUCGAGAAAUCGUUUGAUGCGGUGUUAAUUGGAAUCAAAGUUUUCGCCAAGUCUUAAGAAUCGUUUGCGAGGAUUAAUUUUAAUCUUUCUGUGACCUAUUUUCUUUCAAACUACUGUAUGAAUAAUGUGGAGCAAUGUGUAUUCAGCAAUUAUGCGAACAUGCGUGACCGUGCAAAUUAAUUACUCUUCCCGAUCAAUAUAUUUCCAUCUUCUGUUUACCAUUUUCUACGUUGUAUUAAAUUGCUGCGCUUUGUUCUUUUUUCCUUUUUUAUUUUAACAUUUGUUCCUUUUUUUUUCUGAUUUUUGAUAUCUUUUGCAAAUAAAAAGAAAAAAUACAAAUAAUACGAUACAAAUAAAAAGUUCUUUUCUUUUUUAUUCAUAAUCGAUCAUUUCCAUAUAGGGAUUAAAAUCGCAUAGAAGACGAUCCAAUUGAUCGAAUCACAAAUGAAGCAUUCUAAAAAAAUAAAAAAACAAAUUUUGAAACGAUAUUCUCGACUGAUUCAUCCUCGUCACGUAAAAUGUAAAACAUUUUCGAAAGAAGCGCGCGGGAGCAUUUAUUUCGAACGAUACUUGUCUAUUUGUGGCUAAGCCGUCCCUGAGCGCCGAUUACGUCACCACGGCCACGUGACUCGCUGAAUCUCAUAAUGGUCCAUAUUCGCCUCCCACGUAUCGAUGCAAAACGAUGAUCCAUCAUCGAUUCCGUACACCUGCUUGAUUCUCCCAAUCGUUUGAUCAAAAGAAAGAAAUGGGUCGAAAUCUGAUUUUUAAAUUUGUGAUUUUACUAGAACUGGGUUAAGAUCUCGAAACACUGAUGACCUUACUAAAGAAGAUUCAGAAGUUUUUUUUAAGAAAUUUUGAGGUUUCAAGUAAAUUUUAAUCCUUAAUUAAAAUUAUCCAACGAUUCAAUAUAUAUUUUAUUUAAUCUUUAUAUAAUUCAAUUUUUCAUACAUUUAUGUUCUCCUUUGUUUAACGAGCAACAGAUAACCUAACCUAAAAAAAUCUUUUACACCGAAAUGAAGUGAGAAGAAAUUCUAGUGGAAUGAUUUUAAAAACACUAUUUUAGGAUCACACGGCUUGCAAGACUUAGUUUCCACAUGCUCUCGACACUGUUUGAAUGAUUUAUAACAUUUAACCAGCAUAGACCUUGACGGCUAACCUUCUCCGCAUUAUUUUAAAAGCUUCUGAUGGAUUUCUGAUACUUCCAUGCUUCGCUUGUGAAGCGAAGUUGCACGGAAGCUAUUAUCUCUUCUCUCAUUAUGCAUAAUUAUGUAUUGAAUUUUUGGAAGCAAACGAUUCAUGCAUAUUCCAAGCGAAACCGUACGACUAUCUAUACAGCUGUCACGGUACAUGCCAGUGUUUUUCAACCUUUUUUGAUGUUCAAAUAACUUGCGAUUUUCUUCGAUGUAAGUUUGCGAUCCACAGGUUGGGAACCACUGGUGUAUACAAAAGUUUACGCUAUGCUUACGCUGGAGAGAAGCCAAACGAAAAACGCAAAAAUGCAAAUCUGCCUUUAUGCCACCUACCGAAGUUUGAUCACUGUUUUGUGAUCCGGUGGAUAUACAUUCCGGUCGAUUAUGUCCAUCGGUCACAAUUCGCAAUUUACCGAAAAUGAAACGAGACGAUCGAAAAGAAAUUGAAGAGGAACGAUUCGAUAUGUCGGCUGGAACGAGGUUAGAAAAUUACUGCGCAAAAUAUUCAACGCAAGCUCCUCACCUUUUCCACACGUUGCAAUUGCAAUUUAGUUCACGAUUCCGAGUGGGGACACACCGCCACUGCGACGUGUCAUUGUCAAGGAUAUACAUUGACGCAAUAAACAUGUCCUCUCUAACCUGACCAAUCAUUGCUUUUAAGAAAAGAGGAUUUGCUUUAACGAUUUUUUAAAUUCCAUCAACAGAAUAUACUUAUAGUAAGUACACUUAAGUCAGGAUUAGAUAUUGAUAUAUUCUUCGAAUAGAUUUAAAUUCUCCAUAGAUUUGAUUUGAGAAUGUGAAAAAUGUUAUUAUAGAAUCCACGCAUUGCAAAGUAUUAUGACAUGCAUGUGUAAUCGACACUCGCAAUUUACGUUCAUUCUAGGUUAUGUCAUUUAUAUCACGAAUCGUUCCAAGUGUUUUUUAAUAUCUAACGUGAUCAAAUUACAAAUAUUGUAACACGUCGUAAUACAGUAUCAAUUGUUUUUAAUGAGUAACGAUUUGAAAACUUCUCUAUUACAUGAAAUGCAAAGUAUUUAGUAUUGAAAAGAAUAUUUUUUUGCUGGAUGACGCGACGAUGCGGUAUCACGAAGUAUUUAACGAGAUUACAGGAAGGAACGUGUUCUUUGUCACUGCAACAAGUUGUGUUAAACGGUCACCCAUUAUGCAAUGUAUCGUUCGACUAAUGACCGACAUAUGUCAUUCAUUUACAUAAUGAUUGAUAGAUGAAAAAUUAUCACAUAUCGUUCGAUGUCUAACCAAUUUCGUGUUUCGAUAAAAUUAUUAUCAAUCUUUUAAUUUUAAUUAAGAUUUUAAUAUUUUCGAAUUAUUAAAAUUUUAUGCAAUAAAGAAAUAAAUUUUGUUUAUUUGUUGGAAUAUAAUUUAACGAAUUCUUAUUCGUUAUAAAAUAAUUAUAAAAUAACGAAUAAUUUUAAAUUUUUAAAAUUGUAAUUGUAAAUAAAUAAUAGUAUAAAAUA